rnacentral:lncRNA from 1 species
AUUAUUAAACUUUACCCCAUCAUUUUUCAAGUAAAAUUGACAUUCCUGAUAAAUAUGUUAUAGUAGCCCUGAAUCUUUUCAUACCACCAAUUUCAAUUCUGAUGUUCCCAGGGGUAAGCAACCCACUGUGAUGGUACAGAACUGGUUUCUUUCAAUUCUAAAAAUUCAGGAAGAUCAUUAACAGUGGUUUUCUUUCUUUUAGCAGAGUGAAUCUAGCAGCAGUUCAUCAAGCGAGGAAGUUGCUUCCCAAAGCAGCACCGAGCCAAAAUGCGCUUUAAAUGAAGAUGUGACCAACCAAUGCAAUCAGGAACAGCUUCAUAGAAUGAACAAAUACAACCAACUCCAGCUGGAAGCUAUCCAUGCUCAGGAGCAACUUCGCAGAAUGAAUGAAUACAAC